rnacentral:rRNA from 1 species
UUAAAUUGAAGAGUUUGAUCAUGGCUCAGAUUGAACGCUGGCGGCAGGCCUAACACAUGCAAGUCGAACGGUAGCACAGAGAGCUUGCUCUCGGGUGACGAGUGGCGGACGGGUGAGUAAUGUCUGGGAAACUGCCCGAUGGAGGGGGAUAACUACUGGAAACGGUAGCUAAUACCGCAUAACGUCGCAAGACCAAAGUGGGGGACCUUCGGGCCUCACACCAUCGGAUGUGCCCAGAUGGGAUUAGCUAGUAGGUGGGGUAACGGCUCACCUAGGCGACGAUCCCUAGCUGGUCUGAGAGGAUGACCAGCCACACUGGAACUGAGACACGGUCCAGACUCCUACGGGAGGCAGCAGUGGGGAAUAUUGCACAAUGGGCGCAAGCCUGAUGCAGCCAUGCCGCGUGUAUGAAGAAGGCCUUCGGGUUGUAAAGUACUUUCAGCGAGGAGGAAGGCGUUGUGGUUAAUAACCACAGCGAUUGACGUUACUCGCAGAAGAAGCACCGGCUAACUCCGUGCCAGCAGCCGCGGUAAUACGGAGGGUGCAAGCGUUAAUCGGAAUUACUGGGCGUAAAGCGCACGCAGGCGGUUUGUUAAGUCAGAUGUGAAAUCCCCGGGCUCAACCUGGGAACUGCAUUUGAAACUGGCAAGCUUGAGUCUCGUAGAGGGGGGUAGAAUUCC